GAGAGAGAGAGAGAGAGAGAGAAGGAGAGCAGAGGAGAGAGAGAGAGAGAGAGAAGGAGAGCGAGAGAGAGAGAGAGAGAGAGAGAGAGCCAAACAGGCGAGAGAGAGAAGGAGAGCGAGCGAGAGAAGGAGAGAGAGCGAGAGAAGGAGAGAGAGCGAGAGAAGGAGAGAGAGAGAAAGAGAGCGAGAGAAAGAGAGUGAUAGAGAGUGAUAGAAAGAGAAAGAGAGAGAUAGAGAGAGAGAAAGAGAAGGAGAGAGAAGGAGAGAGAAAGAGAAGGAGAGAGAGAGAAAGAGAAGGAGAGAGAAGGAGAGAGAGAGAGCGAUAGAAGGAGAGAGAGAGCGAUAGAAGGAGAGAGAGAGAGAGAGAGAGAGAGAGAGAGAAGGAGAGUUUAGAGA
rnacentral:lncRNA from 1 species